rnacentral:tRNA from 1 species
GGGGGUAGAACUCAGUGGCAGAGCACGUGCUUCACAUGCACAAAGUCCUGGGUUCAAUCUUCAGUACCUCCA